rnacentral:rRNA from 1 species
AUUGAACGCUGGCGGCAUGCCUUACACAUGCAAAUCGAACGGUAACGGGCCUUCGGGUGCCGACGAGUGGCGAACGGGUGAGUAAUACAUCGGAACGUGCCCGAUCGUGGGGGAUAACGAGGCGAAAGCUUUGCUAAUACCGCAUACGAUCUACGGAUGAAAGCAGGGGACCGCAAGGCCUUGCGCGGACGGAGCGGCCGAUGGCAGAUUAGGUAGUUGGUGGGAUAAAAGCUUACCAAGCCGACGAUCUGUAGCUGGUCUGAGAGGAUGAUCAGCCACACUGGGACUGAGACACGGCCCAGACUCCUGCGGGAGGCAGCAGUGGGGAAUUUUGGACAAUGGGCGCAAGCCUGAUCCAGCCAUGCCGCGUGCAGGAUGAAGGCCUUCGGGUUGUAAACUGAUUUUGUACGGAAAGAAAAGCCUUCUUUUAAUACAGGAGGGUCAUGACGGUACCGUAAGAAUAAGCACCGGCUAACUACGUG